AGGGUUAGAUCCCCAAAUAGUUUCAGACAGGGUCAGAUCUCGAAUUUCUUUGUAAAAAGGGUCAAAACAUGAAAUUCAGCCACCCACACACGUAGCCCAAAGAAACAGCGCCGCCUGAGUCCAUCAAGAUCGCAGUGCCGCCGAUCCCCUCGAGCAGACCCUGCCGGAUCUCGCGUCCGCGUUACGGGAUCGCCGAUAGUUCUGGAUCGCCGCCGUCGCGCGAUCUGCGCACUCGACAGCGCCGCCGCCGCGGAACCCCUCGAGAAGACCCCGCCGGAUCUCGCAUCCACGUUUCUGGAUCGUCGGCCCUGCUCACCGCCCUUGCCCCUCUCUCUCAUGUUUCCUACCCCGCUGUUUGUUCCACGCUGGUCCUCGUCUUCCCCGUCGGUCGCCGCCUUGGGUUUGCGAACCCAGCCACCGUGGGAUGGGAUUCAAACGCCACAUCAGUUUGGGUACGCGGCGACGCCUUGGCCUGAUGCCUCUGAUUUAGGGGAGCUGAGGCAACAUGGGACUGCGCCGCCGUGCUGUUCGCCGUGAUGCGUGGCCGCGCUGUGUAGAUGGAGGACGCGGGCCCAAGCCGUGUUGCGCUUGUCUUCCUGUGCGGAUGUUCGCCAAUAGUCAGGAGCUGGACGUGAUCGGGGUCGACUUCGACGCCACCGAGUUCGGGCUUCCGGAAGACCAGGCACCUCCUCAUCGCCCGUCGCACCAAAGGCACGUGCAGAAUUCAGCACACCAUCUACGCAAACAUGGUGGUCGACGACGCUCUGGUUCUGGUUCUGUCAUCAACAUGUACCCUGACAAGGUAUGUGCUGCGGGUUGUACUCUCGAUUUUAUCUUUAUUUUAGUUGUUGACAUCAUCUCAUGCUUUCCCGUUCCAUAGGCAUUGUCGUCAAUCUGUUUUCCUUUAGUUUUCAGGAGGGUGUUGUUAACAAUUUCAAGAACCUUAUAGCAGGGUAUGGCUAUAGCUAUUGGUUUUGCAGUAUCGCGACUCGCGAGGCUUGACAAACAUACUUGUUCUGCAUAACAUGGGAUCUCACAUAACAUAUCAUUCAGUGAAGAGUAGACCAUAAAAUGGUUUUGAUUUGUGCUCUCGUAGGUUAAACCAAUCUCUGUCAAUGCGAAAUUGGCAUAGCUGAACAUGAUUAAGACUUCAGGAGGGCAGAGUUAUUACUUUGAAGUUUCAGAACUCGUACUUUAUGUGCCAAAAUUUUGGAUGUUGCACUCCUAUAAUAGGCUGGUAUGGCUAAUCUUUUUUGCUUUUCUUUCAUUGCUCUUCACGGAAUCUUCAGGUUUACAAAUUGAUAAUUGUGAUCUAUGUUUCAAGUUGACUUCCCAAUGUUUUACACUUUUACUUGAUGAGAAAAGGUUCUAAUUUUAUUUUAUUUUCUCACUUGAUCUUCAGGUUUACAGGGUUAACAAUUGGGGUCCAUAUUUCAGCGACUUUAUACAAGUACGUUUGCUUAGCUAGAUUUCUGGCCUCAUUUUCUAUUUGGCAUCCCUCAAUCAUUUUCUGCAGAUUCACUUUGUUUGUAUUAUAUAUUGUUGUAAGUGCACCUGAGGGAUAUUAUAGUAGUUCUUAUCUGCAUUUACUACAACUGGUGACCACAUCUCCAUAUUAUCUUUGAAAGAUACUUUACAAAAAGUAAACUAAUGUUAACCUUCAGUUCUGUAGAAACCACACAUUUUAAAUCCAAUAAUCACUUUUUAGUGGAAAGGCAGUAAUCAGUGAUGGUGAUUUAAGAUGUACUCCUUAGAGUAUUGACAUUCACAACCCGCCGGUAAGUUCUCGUUCAUCUUUGAAACUUCUUGGCCAAAAUGUUAUAUCCUUAUGUAUACAUUUCAUCAUUGGUUGUAAAUCUCCUCUGUAUGGAAUAUUCCACAUUCUUACCUUUUUUCUAUGAUAUGGAACACAACUUGUUUAAACAUGUAUGAUUCUUUAUUUUAUAGAAAAUAUGAAGCUAACAAAAAAAAGGUCCAUGCAUUGGUGCAUAAUCCAACUUAUGAAUUCUGUGAACAUAACAUUUUCAGAGCAGCAUUGAUAGUUUCCAACUUGCCUGCUUUAGGAUCAGAUGAGAACAUGAAUGCUCUAAAUUAAAUUCAUGGCCAAUGUACACAACGAGAGCUACAGAAUAAUAUUUCUCAAUAAAUAUGGAUGGUUCAGUUAAUACCGAACAUGACUACAAAGAAAACUGAAUUGCCAUUGCCAAUAUUGUUAAUAACAAUCAACAACAAAUGUCGUCGAGGAGGUCUAUGGCCUGAGCGUCAAGGCGCUUGUCAUGGACGAGGACCAGCAGGACCUCGAGAAGCCCAUCGUCGCACCGCCCGGCGUCGUGAAGUUUGAGGUCGGCACCCCAGCGGACACAACCUCAAACCACAUCUCCCAUUCAUCAUAGCUAGAAGAGAAUGUGGUAUUGUGCAGAGUAGCCCCUCUUCGUUGAUGAAUCGGGUGUAUAGAUUAUAUAUUACUAAAGGAAUCCACCUUAAAAGGCAUUCCACUAAAAACGCAGUAGGGCCCUAUUUCAAGUUCCUUGCACUUAAACUGCAAAAAAGGAAAGGCACUUUUCCUAACCUUUCCCGUUAAGGCCGAGCAGUCAAGUAAAUAACAGUCUCCCGGUCUCCAGCCGCUGCCGCAGCCGACGCCCCACCCCAAUCAUCAAUCUGGCUCUUCACCUCACACCAACGCGGUGUCUCCCAGCGAUGACCUCUUCCUCACGCCCGCACCCUCAUCCUCCUCCUCAAGACGUCAUCAUCGCCUCCCUAGCCCGUGGCCAUGAUGACCGAUCUGGCGUUGGCGUCGUAGAUCACCCUGUGGUCCAUGACCUCGACCAGUUUGCUACGAUCUAGCGACGAAGAUGCAAAGAGAAGCUGCUGCGUGUUCAAGGGGCCGUGAGGAUGCCCACUAUGAAGCAUCUGCGUGCAUAUAUGCAACCAAUGUUUUUCUCUGGAUAAGGUUUCAGAAUGAGAACAGUGAUAACUCUCAUCUGGUACAAAGUGAUACAUUCUCUCGGGAUACUCAGGUAUACUUUUCACAUUUGAACACAAAACUGUAAUUUUGCUUAUGUUGAUUUAUCUUGAAAAUGUGGAGUCAAUAUAACUGGUUGUCUACGAGUCCAUGUUAUGUAGAAGAGCAUUCAGACUAUGCUAUCAAUACUAUGAAGAGUAGAGCAUUCAGAAUAUGUUUCCAAGUGUUAGUAAAUGUAUUGCUGGACUAUAGUGCAAACAUCUUCUAUAUUGUUUGCAGCAAUUUCAAAGCUUUCAACGUAUGAAGUGCUGCAGCUUUUUUUAGAUCAAUGAAGUGUUGCAGUUAAGAGUUAACUACAGAGUGCCAAGAUACUAAACUCCAAUUUCACAUGGGCCUCGUAUAUUUCAUCAACUAUUUUGCAUACUAAGCAUGGGAGGAUCUCCUGGUGGAGUUUGGGAGAGGGGAUGCACUAGGAGGAGGAGACGUCAUGGUGGCCAAGCCCGGAUGUAGCAGAAGAGGUAGGGUCGUUGCCAUAAACUAUGCGGGUCAACGAAGUCUGUGAGGCAGAAGUACCAUAGCGUACAGUUGCCUCUGCUACCAUGUGGCAACGCGCAACCACGAAGGGCUUGACGUUUUGGCUGUCAAGAAGCACUAGGUUGCCGGCAGGCAAGGCAUCCAGGAAGCCAGAGCACGAGAGAGCGAUGCUGCUCAAAGGAAAUCUUUUAAGUUGCUGCUGAAGGAAGAAGACAUGGGGUCAGAAAAAUGUUAAGAUUGACUUGAUGUGUGGUAAGGAAAAUCCAGUCGAUUUUUUUUGAUGCUUGAACAUCCACUACUCAGUUAUUCUUUUAGCUUUGCAUAAUCUGCCAAGUUAUAAGCAGUUCCUUUUAUUUGGACACGCAUAAUGACCAUUCCGCAGCAUCAAGUUCAAGAAAAAAGUUUUUCAAGGUUAGUAAUUUUCUCAAAAAAAAGUUCUUCAAGGUUAGUAAUUAAUACUCCGUUCCCAUAUGGAUAUGCAUGAUGGUUGUUCAUUUUUUGGGAUAACUUACCCAUCUUAUGCCUUGAAAAUUGAGCUACCUCCAUGAUUAUGCAUCUGGUCUCAGUAGAAUUUUUUACCGCCAAAAUACAGUUGUGAAGAGGAGUUCCUGAUGAUAGCUGAAUAUACCAGCCUACUUGCCUACAACCAAGGCAAAAUUAUCAGCGUGUAUGCGAAACAGUCAGAGCUGGUGACUGGAGAAUGCCUGCAGAUAGCUGAGAAGACACAGGUGCACGAUACAUUGCAUACUACAAAGUAGACAUGUCUUUACAAACGACAUGGCAGGAAUAUAUAUACUAAGGUGGAAGCAAAGCGUCCUAUAUCCAUGAAAAUAAAUAGUAUUGGGAUUCAGACAUCAAGGAAGAAAAUGAGACAUUAACAUUUGAUGAAGAUGCAACUUCUUGAUAGAAAGCAGGACUGCUUAUGAGGGGUGCUGGCGGUAAUCAGAAGAAAUUUGCAUGUGGUGAAAUAACUACCUCAUAGACGAGUAAUUAGUUUUGAUGUAGGAAAAAUCUGCAGCUGGUUAAGCUUUGAUGUAUAAAUAGUAACACAUCGCUCUGUGAAAAUGUUCUUGUUAAGGUUAUUCAAUGGGCUAAGUUUUCUAAACAAUGUUGACUUGAUAUUACACUAAAAUCUUGAGAAUACUUGAUGGACCAAGGCAUGAAGGCAAGUAGUGUUUGUAAUGACUUGGUUUAUGGUAGUGCAAAAUAAAUUAUAAAUAGAGUUCAUAGAUCAUUGUUAUGAAAUCUUUUAAACUUGUAGAUAUUCUUGUUCAUAUCAUCGCAUCCACAAUGACCUAACUAUCUUGCUUACUAUGCUUCACACAAAUAUUUUUUGUAAGUUUUCUUAUCAGAAACUGAAAAAUUACACCACCA